GAUGAACGCUGGCGGCAUGCUUAAUACAUGUAAGUCGAACGAGGUGCUUUUGUCUUCGGAUGAGAGUAUCCUAGUGGCGAACGGGUGAGUAACGCGUUGGUGACCUGCCCCGAAGUGUGGGAUAACAGUUCGAAAGGACUGCUAAUACCGCAUGCGAUCGCUUGGAUUAGAUGCUUUGCGAUCAAAGGAGUAAUCCGCUUUGGGAGGGACCUGCGUCCCAUCAGCUAGUUGGUAAGGUAAUGGCUUACCAAGGCUAUGACGGGUAGGGGACCUGAGAGGGUGACCCCCCACACUGGCACUGAAACACGGGCCAGACACCUACGGGUGGCAGCAGUAGGGAAUCUUGGACAAUGGGCGCAAGCCUGAUGCAGCAACGCCGCGUGAGGGACGACGGCCUUCGGGUUGUAAACCUCUUUUAGCAGGGAAGAAGCGAAAGUGACGGUACCUGCAGAAAAAGCACCGGCUAACUACGUGCCAGCCGCCGCUGUAAAAC
rnacentral:rRNA from 1 species